GGAUAGGUGGCCGAGCGGUUGAAGGCACCGGUCUUGAAAACCGGCAGACGUGUAAGCGUCUCGUGGGUUCGAAUCCCACCCUAUCCGCCA
rnacentral:tRNA from 1 species